rnacentral:rRNA from 1 species
AGUGAACGCUGGCGGUAGGCCUAACACAUGCAAGUCGAACGGCAGCACAGUAAGAGCUUGCUCUUACGGGUGGCGAGUGGCGGACGGGUGAGGAAUACAUCGGAAUCUACUUUUUCGUGGGGGAUAAUGUAGGGAAACUUACGCUAAUACCGCAUACGACCUACGGGUGAAAGCAGGGGAUCUUCGGACCUUGCGCGAUUGAAUGAGCCGAUGUCGGAUUAGCUAGUUGGCGGGGUAAAGGCCCACCAAGGCGACGAUCCGUAGCUGGUCUGAGAGGAUGAUCAGCCACACUGGAACUGAGACACGGUCCAGACUCCUACGGGAGGCGGCAGUGGGGAAUAUUGGACAAUGGGCGCAAGCCUGAUCCAGCCAUACCGCGUGGGUGAAGAAGGCCUUCGGGUUGUAAAGCCCUUUUGUUGGGAAAGAAAAGCAGCAGGUUAAUACCCCGCUGUUCUGACGGUACCAAAAGAAUAAGCACCGGCUAACUUCGUG